CUUAAAGGAGCCGUAUGUAAGAUUGUGGCCAAAACUGGUACUGCAAUCACUUUCAAAUUACUGUAGAGUGGUUGCCAGAUAGGCUGCAGGAUCCAACAUUUUUUUAUCCGACACGUUUGUAGCUGCAGCUGUGGUGACUAGAGCAGAGCUGGCAACCCGGAUGCUGCAACACUACUGACUUUGUGAUUGGUAGAUAGGUGGAGGGUGGAGCAUCAGACCAAAACACAACAUGACAACAUCAACAUCAGUUGAGGGCUGCAACUUCACUUUUUAAAUGACAAUAUCAUGGCUGGACUACUGUUGUCAGUGAUACAAGUAUUUGAAAUUAACAUGAUUUAUUAAUGUCUAGUGACAUAUCAGGGCCAUUUUAUGAUUAUUUGAAAUACAUUUCUUACAUACAGCUCCUUUAA